rnacentral:misc_RNA from 1 species
AGCAGCCGCGGUAAUUCCAGCUCCAAUAGCGUAUAUUAAAGUUGUUGCAGUUAAAAGCUCGUAGUUGAAUUUCGGAAUCUGUCCGUCGGUCGGGCUUAACUGUCCGUACUGGUGUGGUGGGUUCUUACCUUCUGAAUAACCAGCAUGCCAUUAAUUUGGUGCGUUGGGGAAGCAGGACUAUUACCUUGAAAAAUUGAGUGCUCAAAGCAGGCUAGUGCCUGAAUACAUUAGCAUGGAAUAAUAAAAUAGGACGGCAUGGUUCUAUUUUGUUGGUUUCUAGGAUCACCGUAAUGAUUAAUAGGGAUAGUUGGGGGCAUUAGUAUUCAAUUGUCAGAGGUGAAAUUCUUGGAUUUAUUGAAGUACUAACUUCUGCGAAAGCAUUUGCCAAGGAUGUUUCAUUAAUCAAGAACGAAAGUUAGGGAUCGAAGACGAUCAGAUACCGUCGUAGUCUUAACCAUAAGCUAUGCGACUAGGGACCGG